AACGCGAAGAACCUUACCAGGGCUUGACAUGCACGGUGCAGCCGUAGAGAUACGGUGUCCUUUGGGGUCGUGCACAGGUGGUGCAUGGUUGUCGUCAGCUCGUGUCGUGAGAUGUUGGGUUAAGUCCCGCAACGAGCGCAACCCUCGUCCUGUAUUGCCAGCAUGCCUCUUCGGAGGUGAUGGGGACUUGCGGGAGACUGCCGGGGUCAACUCGGAGGAAGGUGGGGAUGACGUCAAAUCAUCAUGCCCCUUAUGUCCUGGGCUGCACGCAUGCUACAAUGGCCGGUACAGAGGGCUGCGAUACCGUGAGGUGGAGCGAAUCCCGUAAAGCCGGUCUCAGUUCGGAUCGGGGUCUGCAACUCGACCCCGUGAAGUCGGAGUCGCUAGUAAUCGCAGAUCAGCAACGCUGCGGUGAAUACGUUCCCGGGCCUUGUA
rnacentral:rRNA from 1 species